rnacentral:misc_RNA from 2 species
ACACCUCAACUCUCAUGGUUUGCCAUGAUGAGCUUGGACUUUGGGGGUCUUGCUGGCCUGUGGUCAGCUCCUCUCAAAUGGAUCAGCUUUCCAGUGUUUGGUGGCGUUGCGGGUGUGAUAACUAUCUACGCUCGUGGUGUUCCACCAGGUAACCUUCAGCAAUGGGGGUUCACUGGAGCUCAUAAACGUCUCCUUGGUGGGGACAGCUUUGUGAAU